rnacentral:ncRNA from 2 species
AACACACGCUAGGGGUGCUGGUGGAUUUUUCGUGCAAGCGAACAAGCCACCGGCUGAGAUGACACCCUGGAACUUGAUCAAGGUAAUACUUGCGCAGGGAAGCGUUGUGGAAGCACC